GCCAUUCGGCGUGCACGCGCGUGAGAGGGGACCAGGCACGCAACCGUUAGGAGACUGUCUGGAGUCUGUCUCAAAUUGAUAAAAUUGGAAAUGGAGUUUUACGCGUCUCUGCGCAUCUAUAAGGAACCCGCCUGGUGGGAAAAUGGGAUCUCAGCGCUCCUCCUCAGACGUCUCUUUUUCUUCAGUCGCCACGCAUUUGACGAAAUGUUUAUUUUCCUUCUUUAGAAAACAAACAAACAACAACAAAAAAACCCUAAAGUUUCCCCCCUAAUUCUACAUCACAUCAGCAGACAGCCAGCUCCUUGUGCACAGGGAAUAACCCUUCAGCCAUGGAGUUUAACAUGAGUGCAUCAUGCAUAAGGCAGUCUGCAGAAGCACAGAAAGCCACUGACAUUGACAUUCAGAACUUCAUGUCCACGAAUGGUGCAGAAAGAACUGUGUUGGUGGACUAGGAGGAAGAUGUCACACUAAGGAUGGUUUUUUUUGGCGAUGAUGUUGGUGCUGUUGAUGCAGCAUCGAGCUCUCACUUUGUGCCUCUGUCAGCUAUGAUCCAUAACCAUAAAGUGAGUGACAGGCCAUUCUCCGGGGGGAAAGCAGAGGUCUGAGGUGAGUCAGAUCUCCUACUCAUACAUUGGUGUCCCCAUCUGAACUUCCUGCAGCUCCUGUUCCUGUGAACAUCCAGAUAAAGAUUCCUAUUGGUUGAAUGAAGGAUCAAAACAACAGUGGAGUGUGAUUGUAUGUGUGUGUGUGAGAGAGAGGGCUAAACAGAGAGGAGAAGCAGAAAUUAAUGCAGUCUGGGGAAUGUGUGGGAGAAUAAAAUAAAAAAAAAUACAGUGAUUAAUGUGUGUGAAUACGCUUGUGUGUGUAUGUGUGUAAGGCAGACUGAGUGUAUAAGUUUAGAGAGUGUGAAAGCUGUGUGUGGAGAAUGGGUUACUAAGAGAGGCGGAGGUGGGGUAGGGUGGAGGAAGGAGGGAAAGGGAGGGGGACAGCCACCUGCAGCCAUGACGGGCUUUGACCUUCAUUGCACUCUUUCCCCUCCCCCUCCACCCUCUCCCUCUCUCACCCUUUCUGCUCCUUAUUUCUGCCUUGCGAUAGAAAUUCAGGCUCCUUUCAGAAGCGGCGAAGAAGACUGACCGUCUCGGAGACAGUGCUGGGAGCAGCCCCAACGCUAGUUGCUGGCCGUUAGACAUGGCGUUCAAAGACUAGCGGUGCAAGAAUGGAAAUGCAGAUAAGGCAUCUUUUGGGAAACAGGCCUGGGAAUUGUUCAAGGCUCUCACUUGUAUGAUAUUAUGAUUAUUUUUAUUUAUUCAUUUAAUCUGGAAAGUAAUGAAUGUGAUCUUGCAAUGAUUUCAUGGACAUUUCCUAUGUAUAUGAAUGACUUUGUGAACAUUAUGGUUUUCCAGGUAAUUCUGCCAAAUAAAGACUGUAUGUAAACAUUUCAACAUAUGAACAAGAGAAGCCAGAGACCUGCUCAUGUAUAAUCUCCAAGGUUUUAUUUACUCUUCUUUUGCGGCUGUUCAGGAGGCAGUUAAUUACACAAUUAAUACAUGAUACAAAUUAUGUACAUAUAUACCAAGAAUACUUCCAACAUAAAAUAAAAAAUAGCAUUGUAUUCUACAACUCUGUGUUGUAAUUUCAUUUAAACAUGUUCAUAUAUAGAUAUACGCUGAUGAGUAAAUUCAUAAUGUCGUACCAGCAGUUCUCAUAAAGGCAUUAAAACUUGAGCAAGUCUGCAUUUGAAGUAACACUGCUUUUCUGAUUCGGCACAGUUCUGUUUCAGGAAAAAAAAAGUUCCACUUGAACUUUUUAAGGCAAAGUGUGUUUCUGUUUGGUGGAUUUUCUUUCUUUUUUUUUAAAUUCAUACACACUUUUUGCAGAUGCACAACAAAAAGGAAAAAAAAAACACAUUGAAAAAGGCAAAAAAAGUUCACAAUUUGGUAUGGAUACAAUCUGAAACUCGAUCAUACUUUUUUGUUGAUAUAGACCAAAGUUAAGAAACACAGUUGUUUUUGCCCAAAGUACAACAAAUUGCAGCUUCCAUGCAAAAAAGGCCCCAUAAACUUUUUUUUUCCAUUCACAAUGAAAAGAACAAAAAACGAAAAAAACAAAAAGAAGUUAUUGCAAGAUAAACAAGCAGUGUAAACACCUCAGAUAUCUACUCUAAAGCAACACUGGUCAUUGGAUAGAUUUUUUUCUGAAUAUAAUCUAUAUAAAUACACAUAUGAAGUCCUUUCAACAACAAUAAGAGAUUUCCAACAUUUGUAUUACAGUCACUGAUGGAGUUCCCUUCUUUUUAUGAUAUAUGUAAUAAAAAUGUAAAUAGAGAAAGAUUUACCAAGAACAUCCAACAUUCUGCAUGUAAAAGUCUAAAGAGUGCGCAGAAAUGGUUUUCAUCAUUGUCUUUAUGCUACAGAGUUGUUUCUGUGACUCAAAAGGCAGCAUUAUAGCCUUUUUUUAGCUACAGAAAGGAUUUAUAUUGCUAUUUAAAACUAUAAUAGCUGCACUGAUGCAUUGGCAUAAAAUGAAGAGCGCACACACAUUUGUUUAAAGGCUGAGACACGACCAUAGUAAUCAUAAAAGCAAGGCCUAGCUUUCUGUGUUGGUUAAAAAAAAGAGAAAUAAGUAAAACCUAUUUGUACCCUGUCAAUUCCAGUGGCGGUUUUUGAAUUAUGGUCAUCUCCCCAGGGCAGCAUGGUCUAGGGGGCUGCCAUGAUAGAAAGAAGAGAGACAGAAAACAGCUUAAACUGAGGCAAUGAUGCAAACCACAGUAUGCUACUUGGUCAAUCCUAGGCUUUUUUUGUUGUUUUUUUAUUUGAAGUGACUAUCUCUGGUGAAGAAAAGAGAUUCGCAGUGGAGAUUCAUCGGUCACUUUUUCCGAUAGCACUUUUCCUUUGAGGUCUGAGUUGCUGAUUAAGAUUUGAUGUAUUUCAAUUAUUUUAUGUAAAGGAUUUAAAGCACAUUAAAAAGGCAAAACUA